UGGGGAAUAUUGCGCAAUGGGCGAAAGCCUGACGCAGCGACGCCGCGUGGGGGAUGAAGCUUCUCGGAGUGUAAACCCCUUUCGACCCGGACGAAUGACCCGCAAGGGUUUGACGGUACGGGUAUAAGAAGCCCCGGCUAACUACGUGCCAGCAGCCGCGGUAAUACGUAGGGGGCCAGCGUUGCUCGGAAUUACUGGGCGUAAAGGGUUCGUAGGUGGUGCGGUAAGUUGGAAGUGAAAUCUCUGGGCUUAACCCAGAGGCUGCUUUCAAAACUGUCGCGCUCGAGUGCGAGAGAGGUCAGUGGAAUUGCAGGUGUAGCGGUGAAAUGCGUGGAUAUCUGCAGGAACACCCGUGGCGAAGGCGGCUGGCUGGAUCGCAACUGACACUGAGGAACGAAAGCUAGGGGAGCAAACAGGAUUAGAUACCCUGGUAGUCCUAGCCCUAAGCCAUCGGAACUUGGGGUGCAUCCCGUUCGGGGUGCGUCCCGUAGCUAACGCGUUAAGUCCUGCGCCUGGGGAGUACGGUCGCAAGGCUG
rnacentral:rRNA from 1 species